CCUUACUGCAGCCAGAGCUGAGUUAGACGUUAACGGAGGCGGUUGGUGAACACGAGAGCUAGUGAAAAGAAGAGUUCGUUUGAUUUGUUUCAGCCCCAGGACUGAGGCGUUCAGGUGGCGUGACUGGCGUGCCCUGUCUGCAAUCCUCCCUUUCAGUAAGGGGCAGUAAGGACAAGAUCCACCCACCACCCAGUGCAUGCUACAUAUGUGUGUAAUAAAUUGAGAGGGAAAGUGUGUGUGAUAAAUGAAAUUUAAUAAAGUAAGUAAAAUUUUGAAUUUGUGCUUCUUUUCUGAAAUACAUUAGUACAAGGUUUUGAUUUUUAGAUAAUUUAUUCCAAGAUGUUGAUAAUUUAACACUCAAUAUACAUGA